GUCCACGCCCUAAACGAUGUAUGCUUGGUGUUGGGAGUUUUUCUCCCAGUGCCGAAGGAAACCCGUUAAGCAUACCACCUGGGGAGUACGAUCGCAAGGUUGAAACUCAAAGGAAUUGACGGGGGCCCGCACAAGCGGUGGAUCAUGUGGUUUAAUUCGAUGCAACGCGAAGAACCUUACCUGGGCUUGAAGUGUGGUGGACGAUGACCGAAAGGUUGUUUCCCUUCGGGGCCGCCACAGAGGUGCUGCAUGGCUGUCGU
rnacentral:rRNA from 1 species